GAUGAACGCUGGCGGCGUGCCUAACACAUGCAAGUCGAACGUGAGGGGGUAGCAAUAUCCCUGAAAGUGGCGAACGGGUGAGUAACACGUAGGUAACCUGCCGCGCAGAGGGGGAUAACCAUUGGAAACGAUGGCUAAAACCGCAUGGUCCUUACUAGGCGGGAGUCUAGUAGGGUAAAGCCUUGGUGCUGCGCGAGGGGCCUGCGUCCGAUUAGCUAGUUGGUGAGGUAAUAGCUCACCAAGGCGAUGAUCGGUAGCUGGUCUGAGAGGAUGAUCAGCCACACGGGAACUGAGACACGGUCCCGACUCCUACGGGUGGCUG
rnacentral:rRNA from 1 species